AGUGAACGCUGGCGGUAGGCCUAACACAUGCAAGUCGAACGGCAGCACAGUAAGAGCUUGCUCUUACGGGUGGCGAGUGGCGGACGGGUGAGGAAUACAUCGGAAUCUACUUUUUCGUGGGGGAUAACGUAGGGAAACUUACGCUAAUACCGCAUACGACCUACGGGUGAAAGCAGGGGAUCUUCGGACCUUGCGCGAUUGAAUGAGCCGAUGUCGGAUUAGCUAGUUUGCGGGGUAAAGGCCCACCAAGGCGACGAUCCGUAGCUGGUCUGAGAGGAUGAUCCGCCACACUGGAACUGAGACACGGUCCCGACUCCGACGGGAGGCAGCAGUGGGGACUAUUGCACAAUGGGCGCAAGCCUGAUCCAGCCAUACCGCGUGGAUGAAGAAGGCCUUCGGGUUGUAAAGCCCUUUUGUUGGGAAAGAAAAGCAGCAGGUUAAUACCCCGCUGUUCUGACGGUACCCAAAGAAUAAGCACCGGCUAACUUCGUG
rnacentral:rRNA from 1 species